rnacentral:misc_RNA from 1 species
AACCAUAGAAACCUGCGGAGUACCUGCGGAGGGAUCAUUACAAGUGACCCCGGUUUACCACCGGGAUGUUCAUAACCCUUUGUUGUCCGACUCUGUUGCCUCCGGGGCGACCCUGCCUUCGGGCGGGGGCUCCGGGUGGACACUUCAAACUCUUGCGUAACUUUGCAGUCUGAGUAAACUUAAUUAAUAAAUUAAAACUUUCAGCAAUGGAUCU